rnacentral:rRNA from 1 species
UACAGAGGUGCCAAGCGUUUAGGCGGAAUCACUGGGCUUAAAGCGCGUGUAGGCGGGUCGUUAAGUGUCCGAGUGAAAUCCCACGGCUCAACCGUGGAACUGCCGGGCAUACUGGCGAUCUUGAGGCAUUCAGGGGCGAGCGGAACAAAUGGUGGAGCGGUGAAAUGCGUAGAUAUCAUUUGGAACGCCAAUGGUGAAAACAGCUCGCUGGGAAUGAUCUGACGCUGAGACGCGAAAGCCAGGGGAGCGAAUGGG